rnacentral:rRNA from 1 species
CGGGUGAGUAACGCGUAGGAAUCUGCCUGGUAGUGGGGGACAACAUGUGGAGACGCAUGCUAAUACCGCAUACGCCCUACGGGGGAAAGGAGGGGAUCUUCGGACCCUUCGCUAUCAGAUGAGCCUGCGUGAGAUUAGCUAGUUGGUGGGGUAAAGGCUCACCAAGGCGACGAUCUCUAGCUGGUCUGAGAGGAUGAUCAGCCACACUGGGACUGAGACACGGCCCAGACUCCUACGGGAGGCAGCAGUGGGGAAUAUUGGACAAUGGGGGCAACCCUGAUCCAGCCAUGCCGCGUGUGUGAAGAAGGCCUUAGGGUUGUAAAGCACUUUCAGGAGUGAGGAAGGGUGUACGGUUAAUACCCGUAUAUUUUGACGUUAACUCCAGAAGAAGCACCGGCUAACUCUGUGCCAGCAGCCGCGGUAAUACAGAGGGUGCGAGCGUUAAUCGGAAUUACUGGGCGUAAAGCGCGCGUAGGCGGUUUGUUAAGUCGGAUGUGAAAUCCCAGGGCUCAACCUUGGAAUGGCACCCGAUACUGGCAGGCUA